AAGAAGCACCGGCCAACUACGUGCCAGCAGCCGCGGUAAUACGUAGGGUGCGAGCGUGUCCGGAAUUAUUGGGCGUAAAGGGCUCGUAGGCGGUUUGUCGCGUCGGGAGUGAAAACCAGGUGCUUAACACCUGGCUUGCUUUCGAUACGGGCAGACUAGAGGUAUUCAGGGGAGAACGGAAUUCCUGGUGUAGCGGUGAAAUGCGCAGAUAUCAGGAGGAACACCGGUGGCGAAGGCGGUUCUCUGGGAAUGACCUGACGCUGAGGAGCGAAAGUGUGGGGAGCGAACAGGAUUAGAUACCCUGGUAGUCCACACCGUAAACGUUGGGCGCUAGGUGUGGGGUCCAUUCCACGGAUUCCGUGCCGCAGCUAACGCAUUAAGCGCCCCGCCUGGGGAGUACGGCCGCAAGGCUAAAACUCAAAGGAAUUGACGGGGGCCCGCACAAGCGGCGGAGCAUGCGGAUUAAUUCGAUGCAACGCGAAGAACCUUACCUGGGUUUGACAUACACCCUGCCGCUCCAGAGAUGGGGCUUCUUUUGGGGGUGUACAGGUGGUGCAUGGCUGUCGUCAGCUCGUGUCGUGAGAUGUUGGGUUAAGUCCCGCAACGAGCGCAACCCUCGUUCUAUGUUGCCAGCACGUUAUGGUGGGGACUCAUAGGAGACUGCCGGGGUCAACUCGGAGGAAGGUGGGGAUGACGUCAAGUCAUCAUGCCCCUUAUGUCCAGGGCUUCACGCAUGCUACAAUGGCCGGUACAAAGGGCUGCGAUCCCGUAAGGGGGAGCGAAUCCCAAAAAGCCGGUCUCAGUUCGGAUUGGGGUCUGCAACUCGACCCCAUGAAGUCGGAGUCGCUAGUAAUCGCAGAUCAGCAACGCUGCGGUGAAUACGUUCCCGGGCCUUGUACACACCGCCCGUCACGUCACGAAAGUCGGCAACACCCGAAGCCGGUGGCCCAACCCUUGUGGAGGGAGCCGUCGAAGGUGGGGCUGGA
rnacentral:rRNA from 1 species